rnacentral:lncRNA from 1 species
UUGAAUCUUCAAUCUUGAUCCAAGCCUUGAAAACUGGAAAGCAAUAAAUUCUAAAGCUAGAAAACUGAAAUAUUAAGUCUGGGAACUGAAAAAGGAACCUUAAAUAGGUCAAAAGAGGACCUAUAUAUAGGCACAGGGGAUAAAUACAGUGUAGGACUCGAAAAUACUGAUAAAAUCCGAAAUUUCGCAAAAUCCCGAAAAUUCGGAAAUUCCCGUCGGACACUAUUCACUGAUGCGCGCGACUUUCUUGUUACGGCCAUAUCUUCCUCGUCCGAACUCAGAUUUGCGAACCGUUUGCGUCUACGAACUCGUAUCGAGACGAACUACAACUUUCAUUAAGAUAAACAGUCCAAAUUCGAACUCCAUAUUUCUGCAUAUUUCACAAGAUAAAGCAAUUUAAGCACAAAACAACUAUCUAACACUCAAUUUCCUGUAAAAUUAACAUCAUAUGAACACUAAAAACCAUGGAAACAUGAGUGUUAUCAUUCACCAAUAGAUUGGGCUACUGCCAACGACCACACUACGAUGUAGUGAGGGAGCUUCUUUACAUUAACCCCAAUCUUCUCAUCAAAUAAAUCUCCCUCCUAAGAAUUCGCAGCCUUGGGAUCAUCUGGGACGACGACGCCAACUUUGAUCGCCUACAAAUUUAAAUUUCUAGAAAAUUGAUGUUUUGAAUGCUCUUUUCUUGGCGUGCCUGAUAUAACUAUAUAGAUAAGAUUUGUAUAUCUUGCAAAAGUUGGUCCUAUAUUUUAGUUGUUGUUGUUGGCCGAUAGCACCGACAACGACUUUGCUCACCAUUGUUCUUGUUCGGAUUGUGGGAGGAUGAAGGCGGGGGCCUUCGUCGAAAUUAAACGUGGAGGCGGUCACUGGGAAUUGAGGGAGGAGGUGGUGGUAGAUUUGGGGAUCUAAGGUUUCAAAGAAAGAUGAGGAACAUGAGUUAGAGAACGAGCAACGAGGACGCUAUGGGCGGCGGCUCGACCGUUGCUGUUUGCCGAAAAUCUGAAAGGGGUGGUAGCGGUGAAUUUAAGAAGAAGGGUGAAGCAGUGUCUCUUUGUGUGUGUGUGUGUGUUUUGGGUCACGAGAGAGAAAGGUUUAGAUAGAGAGAAGAUAAGGCGCCAGUGGUGGUGGUCGAAGCGGCAACGACCUUCGCCGGAAUAUAAUGCGGCGGUUGGGGUAGAUUUUGAAAGAACAAGACGGGGGCUGGUGUCUUGAUUGGGGGAUAUACAC